AAACAACGACAAAAAUAUCAUUUAGUUUAGCCACUUGCAAUCCUAGAAAGAUAAUUUUAAUGGUUACAACAUAUUCAACACCAAAAACCAAGAACAGAAUGCAGUUGUUAUCGACAUUUCCUUGUUGAGAACUUCCCUAAUCAACACAAGUAAAUAUGAAUGGAUUUUACACGUUGGAUUAUCAAUAAAUAUGGAAAAAUCCCUCUCCAGUAUCCGACAUCAAAAUCAAACUACAAUAAGAAAGCUACAACAAUACAUAGUAGAAAAUGGUGUUGCACAUACUCCAGACAUAUGAACCACGAAAACUAACUCUCAUACCUCAAGUGACAAAGACUGCACUUCUGCCGCUUUGAUUGUGAUUCACUUUCUCAGUUUAUGCCCUCUUGCCAAACCCAAUAGGACACAAAGGAAUCUCAAAUAGGAUAAAUAACCAUUCAGACUAUGCUGGGAGGAUCCCCCACCCAAUUGCAAACAGCACGUGCCCAACGUGUUCUUACGCAGUCUACCAAAGGCGCAUGUUGAGCAGGCUCAGGUUUUGUCACUUCAGUAUCUUUGCCACUUGAUUCAUUUCCCCCAGAACCAGAGGACACUACCACAUCUGCCAUGAAUUCCUCAGGAGUCCACCUAGGUGGAACUGAAACCCUGAGCUUUGUAAGCCUAGGUCUUUGGACUGGCGUCUCACCUCCUAAGGCCAUGUGGCUGCCGUUUAAAUCAGAUUUUGCAAUACCAUUAAAAUGGUAAAGAUCAAACACCUUUUUACCCAUCAAUCCACUUGAAUCCUUUAGGCCUCCCAAACUCUUAUCCAAAUCCAAAAUGACCUGCCAGAACUCACUCCAUACAAUAAAGCCUGUACCACAGAGGUGAUCAAGUUUCUCAGGAGGAAGUCUGAUGCUGGUUUCCCUGAGGACUUGCUGGAAGCCUUCCACACUAAUAAAGCCACCCCCACCACUCUGGUCUUGUGCAUCAAAAGCUUUCCGAAUCUGAGACUCCCUUUCUUCCAGCUCAUUCUCAUCUUGAACAGUAGUAUCAAGAGCAAAUAGAACUGUAUAGUGGGACUCGCUUCCAACAACCCAUAUUGGCCAUUUAGGGCAUUUUAGAUGUUGACCAACCUUGCAGAAAUUGAGGGAUUCCAAUAGAGUAAGAAAUCCAACUUCCACACUUGUGGAUAUGCCCUUUAGACACAUGCCACCACCUAAAUCCAUUCUACCAUCAAAAACAUUAGGGACAGCCUGCCCACAGAGCAGUAGAUUCACUAUUUCCUGUUCCACGGCAUUCAAAAGAAAAGACAUUAUUUAAAGAAAAUGCCAUUGUUAUAUAGGGAUAUACAAAGGAGAGCUACUAAUUACAAAUUGAAGUAUGAAAGCAUAGAAGGGAGAAAAAGAACACAAAUGCUUAUGUACCUGAGAGGCAUGCCCAAAAGGUGCAGUGACCAGAGGAAGGCUUGGAUCAUCCCUGUCAGCUUGAACACAAUCCUGAAGAGAAGAUGCAUUUUUGCAUGGAUAGGUAACAUAAACAUCCCAUGCAGACGAGUCAAGUUAGUGCUGUCAAUCAAUUAGCCAUUAGAUUGAAUAUAAAUGAAAUUUAUAGAACAGAACAAUUUAUGAAGUUUAUGAAUGGAAUGCACAGAGAAAAAGUGAGUAAAUAACCAUCGAAAAUGAAACACUAGUAUGACAAGCAUGAAUAAUUCAUCUAGCAUCCAUUACUAUUGAUUAAAAACAUCAAUCCUUUAUGCUUAUAAAGCACAAAAGACAUCUGUCAAUGAUCUGUCCAAGUACCAGAUUAACAUAUAUUAGAGUGGACGCCAUCAAAUAAGCCCAGUUAAACGUUAAAGAAAUGGAUUCAAAACUUCCUACCCCAAACCAAAAAUGGAAAAAAGAAAGAACAGAGACAGAGCGAGGGUGAUAGAAAACAAAAACAUGUCAUGCUACACUAAAACCUUUUCUUCAAUUAGAUCAUCAUACUUGUAGCUUAACUCAUAGACAUCGUAGCCAGGUUCAGUUAGUUGACAAAAAGCAUGCUCAUCUCCAGCCUUAGAGCAAUUGCAAAUUAUGAUUAGGCCAUGCUUUCAACAGGAAAAAAUGUGGAUACAUAUAUAAAUGAAAAGGAUGCUUUUAAACCGACUAUGCAUACCAAUCCUCUAGAUAGCAAUGCAGAUAUAAGGAAUAGCAGUGCCCCCAUACGAGAUUGGAAGACGGGAAUCAUCACUUGCAGCCUCUGCAUCGCACUUGCUUGUGAUGUGUAUGUUUCAAUUCUUAGAAUUUUAUGCAAAUCAGAUGCUGACUCAAUCGAAAGAUCCUCAAGCGCUUUUGCAAUGGUCUCAUCCUUAGCCAAGCCCUCAAUAUCACAGCAAAUACCAUUCAAAUUAGCAAUCACAAGCCUCUUAUCACUUCCACAUAGAAACAAUAUUUCACCCAUACUUCUGACCAGGGCUCUUGCUUUUGCAUCUUCACUUAGAGAACUAAAAUUAUUUGAUGCAACAUAUCGACCUUUAGUAAGUCUUCCAGAAUCCAAAUUCUGAGGUAUGUUUGGUACAACUUUGCCCAAUUCAUCAGGAAAGAAAAGAAAAUACUUGAGAACAAAUGCUUGUAUGGUUGCUAAGACGCCACAGGGCCCACCUUCAUGCUGCACUAGGCCCAUAGAUGUUUCUGGAUCAAGGCUAAACCUUAUGCCCUGAUUACUCCAUUGUGCUAGAAUGUCCUUCGAAACAACACUCCCAAACACCAUUGAGAACAACUGAUUUGCCUCAUCGCUGGAUAAUUCUUUUCCCAUGUUGCCCCCCUUGGGGCCUAAAUCCUUAUCUUUUUUAGCAACAUCUGUGCUUUUACAGGGGCUUCUAUCUAUGGCUUUCGAUGGCGAGGCGAUUUUUGCUGCGCGCAUCCGCUUCUCAGCUGCCGCGGCCAUGAGCUCUCGCUGGAGCAGCCGGGACUCUUCCGGCGAAACCACAGGAGCACCGGCAGCGUCCCUUGGCUUGCUACGCUUAGGUUCUGGAGGUGAGUUUUGCAUACUCAUUCUUAGAGCCAUUCUCAGGUCCUCUUCCUCUUGAUCCGCCAUUGAAGAAGAAAUGACAACAGCAGAUCGAAAAGGCAACUAGAAUUUAUCAAAAUAGGGUUUUCCUUAUUUGCAUAUACAGAUCGAUUGAAAAAAUCGUAACGUAUAAUUCCAGUAAAAAUGAUUCGAUUUCAGGACGAGAAGAUAAAAUAAGAUUUUGGGAUCAUAAAAUUAAAACAAAAAACCCAAAUAAAUUAGGGUCUGGAUUUUGAUUGAUCCGCGAAUGAAUUAUCUUUAUGAGCGAGACUAUUUCACUUUGAACAGGAGUAGAAUAAAUCAUAAUGACGGUUUUAACCUCUAGUUUUGAGUUCAGUAGUGAGCAUAUCCGGUGGAAGGUGAGGGUUAUCUGGUAAAUUGAAAAAAGGCGUGCUGAUUGGGUGGGAAGUGCCUUUCUUCAACGACAGACGUGUUUCGCUGUCUGGAGAAUAUUUGCAAAUUUAGGAAGAAGGGAGUAUAUCACAUGUUUUCGAGUAUAUAGUUGGCAAUGUAAGAGUAGUUUAACAACCACUAGACCUUGAGUUUAAAGAUGUACUAUUGCAUUUAUGAAUGAUGAUGAUGGUCGAGCAAAUUGAU
rnacentral:misc_RNA from 1 species